GGCGAUCGGGUGAGUAACACGUGGGUAAUCUGCCCUGCACUUGGGGAUAAGCCUGGGAAACUGGGUCUAAUACCGGAUAGGACAUCUGAGGGCAUCCUUGGGUGUGGAAAGUGUGUAGCGGUGUGGGUUGAGCCCGCGGCCUAUCAGCUUGACGGUGGGGUGAUGGCCUACCGUGGCGACGACGGGUAGCCGGCCUGAGAGGGUGACCGGCCACACUGGGACUGAGACACGGCCCAGACUCCUACGGGAGGCAGCAGUGGGGAAUCUUGCGCAAUGGGCGGAAGCCUGACGCAGCAACGCCGCGUGGGGGAGGACGGCCUUCGGGUUGUAAACCUCUUUCGGCACCGACGAAGGCAGUGUUCUGUUGACGGUAGGUGUAGAAGAAGCACCGGCUAACUACGUGCCAGCAGCCGCGGUAAUACGUAGGGUGCGAGCGUUGUCCGGAUUUAUUGGGCGUAAAGAGCUCGUAGGCGGUGUGUCGCGUCGGCCGUGAAAACCUGCCGCUUAACGGUGGGCGUGCGGUCGAUACGGGCAGACUUGAGUUCGGUAGGGGAGACUGGAAUUCCUGGUGUAGCGGUGAAAUGCGCAGAUAUCAGGAGGAACACCGGUGGCGAAGGCGGGUCUCUGGGCCGAUACUGACGCUGAGGAGCGAAAGCGUGGGGAGCGAACAGGAUUAGAUACCCUGGUAGUCCACGCCGUAAACGUUGGGCGCUAGGUGUGGGGACUGUUGUGGUGUCCGUGCCGUAGCUAACGCAUUAAGCGCCCCGCCUGGGGAGUACGGCCGCAAGGCUAAAACUCAAAGGAAUUGACGGGGGCCCGCACAAGCGGCGGAGCAUGUGGAUUAAUUCGAUGCAACGCGAAGAACCUUACCUGGGUUUGACAUGCACC
rnacentral:rRNA from 1 species